rnacentral:sRNA from 1 species
UCCAGGCUGGCUUCAAACUCACAAGAGAUCUGCUUUCUUCUUCCUCCCAAGUGCUGGGAUUAAAGGUGUGAGUGGCUACACCGAGUUCUGCAUUUUCUGAACUGAUCCCUAGAUGACCUGGCUAUUGUCUUUCUGGAUUGUCCACCACACACGGCUCUCAUACUCUAGAGGCACUACUCUUGCCUGGCCAGACUGUUUCACCUCAGCCUCUAGUCUUGCUCACCUCCCCAGGAAGCCCCUCCUUUCCAGUUCUCACUAGGCUGAUCUGGACACAUAGUUUCCUACACUUCAUUGAGUAGAAAGGUAAAAGGGCCUUGCUUCUACCUCUGACUCCACCUGCAGGUCUGGCCUCUGGGUUAUUCUGUCCUCCGUCAUUCUCCCCCCCUUGUAGCUCAUUUGGUCUUGAUUCUCACAGAUGUUAUUUUUGGAUUUCACCCCCACUGCAGCCUGGAAGGGCCUUCAAAUCAGAUUUGUCUUGCUCGUCUUUCUGUCCCAGGGCCUAGUUCAGCAUAAAGAGGCUCUGUGGCUUGUGAACUGGGGGUGGUUCCAUCAUAGCAAACUUGCCUCGCAUGCACGUCUCAUCCCCAGUACAGAAAAGAAAAAGAAAAAAGACAUGAAAGAAAGUGGUUCGUUUUAGUCUUGUAUGGGAUCACACUUCUGUGAUCACAGCAUUCAGGAGAGGGAGGCAGAAGGAUCACCACAAAGAUGAGGUCAGCCUGGGCUACAUAGUGAGUCCCAUCUCAAAAAUAAAGUACAAUUAAUCCUGUUGAUUAUAAGCUUAAAAGGCACCGUUGUAAGCCAGCCUGGGUUAUAUAGCAGAUUCAGGCCACCAGGGCUACGUAGUGAGACUGAAAAAAAUCAAAUGGCUGCAGCCUCCCAGGCCCCACACACCCCUCCACCUGACCCCGGGAGCCUGGGAUUGUUUUUCCACCCUUGGCCUCAGGAGACCCUGGCAACAAGCUGCUGCUCUGGGAAAGCACAGCCAGCUUGGGACCCAAGCGGUUCCCAUGCCCGCCCUUCCACAGUGACUCCAGGCUCCUCCAUGUUGGGAAGUAUGCAUCAGGGCCAUCCCAAACGGGAAGAGGGGCUCCCAGAGUAUAGCUUCUUCAUUCCCUAAGUCUUAGGAGCUGCCUGCUGCAGAUCAUGCAGGUGACGAGGCAAAGGAGAAAGGUGAGAAACCCUGGUGUCAAAAGGCUGGGCUUGCUACUCUGAGGUGGUGGUGUCCACAGGGCAACUUCUGGGCAAGACAGGUACAGGACUAUAUGGAGAAGCACAAGACCCAUGCCCCAGAGGCACCAAAGAACCUGCUCUCCCACCCCUCCCCAUUCCUCAGCUGUCUCCUGUCUUCUCCUGUGGGCUGCUGAGAUGGGACUAGGGGAUACCUGGAGAGAAAACUCAGACCUGGAGUAGGACAGAAAGGUAGAGCCAGGUCAUUCAAAGCAACAGAGGAUGCAUUUACCCCCAGGGAGAAGUGGCCUCCACAGAAUGGAAUUCUGUAUUCUCUGGACCCUCCAGAAUUCACAGCAACUCAGAAGCUAAAAAGAACCAUAACAAGAAGUGCUCCCAGUCAUUUACCUAGUGUUUCUAUUAGCCAGGCUCUGUCAUGGUGCUAAGUACGUGGAAGCCCAGGCAACUUCUUUACCAGGCGGAUGCUCAGAGCUUUACCCCUUUCUAACAGAUGGAGAUAACAAGGCACAGAGACACAACUUUCCCAAUAACAGCCAGAAUUUCGCUCCAAGCAAGGUGGCUCCAAAGCCCAUGCUCUUGGUUUUAUAUCCCUGAAGGCAAAGACUGCACGCUGACCCUAACCCCCUAGCCUCACUGUCACCCUGCUCCUGUUCCCUCCGGAGGCCAAGACUGCUGCAGUGGUUGGGGAGGAAAGGACAUAAGGACACAGACACUGAUGGUCCAGACAGGGCAUCUCUGGCAAUUACUGAAAUGGCUACACUGACUGGCCAUCGAGCCUCAAGACUACCUCUUCCCAUCCCAGUCUCCAGCCCUGGGAUUACAAGUGUUACUAUGCAAGACCAUAAAGAAAGUUAUUUAUAAAAAUAUUUAUUUUUAUUUUAUGCCUGCAAAUAUGUGUACUGUGUGGGGUAAUCUCAGAGACCAGAAUCCAGGGGGUCCAAUGGAGUUAAAGAUGGUUGUGAGCUGCCCCGUGGGUACUGGGACUCUAAUGUAGGUCCUCUGCAAGAGCAGCAAAUGCUCUUAACCACUGAACCAUUUCUCUAGCCCUAUGCAAAGGUUUUGGUUUUUGUUUUUGUUUUUUUUUUUUUUUUCUAUGAGUUCUCAGGACUGAACUCUGGUCCUCGCGCUUGCAUAGCAAGUACUUACAAACUGAGCUGUUUCUCUUAACAUUAUUGUCAGCUUGACAAGUUCUAGAAAGUACAAGAUGCAAGCCUCUGACCCACGUGAAAGGGACCAUCUAGAUGACAGAUAACUGAGGUGGAGAGAGCCGCAUUGACUCUGGUGCCACCGUGCCACAGGCAGGGGUCUUAAGCUGACUAAAAAAAACAGCUGAGCACUAGCACUUCUCUGAUUCCUGUCAACAGUGGGGACACCUACUCAAGCUCCUGCAUACUAUAAUCCCGAACUGGGAGCCAAAAUAAGGCCUCUUCCCUUGCCUUUGCUUGUGAGGUAUUGUUUCAAUGAAGCAAGUAAAUGCCACCGUCCAGAAGUUACUGUACUUUCAUUUCAGUUCCACAGACUUAUCAAAUUUCAUUAGUUCUCCACUGGUCACAUUUUGGCUUUGAUUUCCCAUUCUCUCAACAUUCACAUCAUAACUACAUGUGUGUGAUUUGUAACUUGCCUAUGUGUAUACCUGUACACAACAUACUUGCUUACUGACAAAGGAGGCCAGGAAAAGGCACCAGAUCCCCUGGAACUGGAGCUAAGAGAUGGUUAUGAGCAACCAUGUAGGUAGGUGCUGGGAGCCUGGUUCCUCUGGAAGGGCAAGCUGUGCUUUGAAAAAACCAAGCAUCUAACCCCGACUUGCUCAAACAUUUUAAUGUUUACUUAGUGUGUUUAUGUUAUAGUGUGGAGGUCAGAAGACAACUCACAGAAGCCACUCUAUCCUACCAUCUCUGGAGAACUAAACUCGGGUUCAAGUUUGGUGGCAAAUGUCCUUACUCUGGGUUAUCCCCAGCCCACUUCACUCUUCACCACUCACCAACAUUCUGAUGUCCUCUUAUGUGUCCCUGUAGACACAUCAGGCCUAGGGGAUGAGCCAUGCCGGCCAUUCUAGAAAUCUACCUUCCCCUUCCCUUGUCCUGAAGACACCUUAGGAAGUCCCCAGGAGAACCAGGUAGCUUUCCAUGCAGAGGUCUUUCCCCUCAUUUCUCAUUAAAGGCCAGCUAGUCUAGAAAGAAUCUAGCAUGUUCUUUCCCUACUUUUGUGCCCUCUUCCCUACCCCAUGAGCAAAUAUCCAAAUUCUGCCUUGGUGUGUGUGUGUCCCUCAAAGGCCCAUGUAAAAUGCUUGGUUCCGGUCUGAGGACGGAUUGGGAGGCGGUAGAAAAUUGAGGGCUUAGUGGAAGUUAGGCCAUUGGGGACACACUCUUAAGGGGGACAGUGGGACCCUGGGCCCUUCCUGUCUCUUUUCACACUCUUUCCAUAUUUGCUGUCUCACAGGUCUGAAGUAGCAAGGCUCAAUGACUGCACAGCAAAAGAAGGCGCUAUCAGGAGCCCAGGUGAGCCCAUCUUUUGAGUUACCACAAGAACUUCGUCACAGCAGUAGAAAAUCUACCAGUCCUACGUCAGAUGCAGAAACACCCUGUUACAGUCAGGGAUUCACACAAGGUCUCAGCUGAGGAAGGCUUAAGCUGUGUUCACUCAGUAUAUAUUGAUACGGCGCUGAGUCUGUUCAUAGUCAGCACAGGUCAGAAAUGUUUCUCCUCUCAGCCACUUUAGGGCUUCCUCACUCUAAUACCACCCCUAAAUUGUUCUCAAAACGAAAAAUACCUAGUGCGUGUGUAAGCACAUGCACAAGUCGUAGCAUGCAUGUGGAAGCCUGAGGACAGCUCGUAGGAGUCUGUGGGUUCUAAGGCCGGGACUCAGGCUGUCAGGCGCACCACUGUCUCAGCAUCCUGGCCUGCUUGCAUGUUUGUUCUCGUCCUUCCUUCUUCCUUUGGUUCUGUGAGAUAAGGUCUCACUUGCAGCCCCGGUGGAGCAUGCUGGUGAAUGCUAACAUUACAGGCAUGCCCCGCUGGACCUAAUUCCAAGUCUUCUGCCUGGUCUAACCCAGGCAGGGCAGUAAGUGCCUGUAACUCCACUCAGGACGCAGAGGCAGAGUUUUGACAAUAACCUGGUGGUCCAGGUGUGUAUUUCAACCAGAGCUAUACAGAGAGCUUCUAUAAAACCGAAACUGGUCAGAAUGGCACAGAUCUAUACUGCCAGCCCUUGGGAAGGUCGAGACAGGGUUAUUGCAGGCUAAUAGUAUCCGGCUAGCCCAAGCUACCUAACAGGACUGCCUCAGCAAAACAAAACCCCUAAAAUCUGAUGAUGAUGUAUCACAAAUGCGAAGAAAAUAUUUUCCUCUCUGGGCAAAGGCAUGGUUCUCAAGUGGGAAAUUCAACAUUUGACCUCUGUGAUUAGUCUCAGUCCAAUCAUAGAUGUCCUAAACAUACUGCAUUCAUUAAAUCACCUUCAGGCUGUGUACAAGUUACAUAUGAAACAAAGGAAUUUUAUAUUAAGUUUGGGGUCCUUUCCCAAGAUAGUUUUACAUAUACAUACUCCAAAAUCCAAAAGUAAACCCCAAAGUUGAGCACACUUCUGACCCCGAGUCCUUUAGCUAAGUAAGGCCUCUUAGCCAGGCUGCUCUUCUCUGCUCUAAGCUCCAAGCUUAGGGUCCCACAGGAUGAAAGCAGAGGACUGCUUAAGUACCAAAGCCUACUGCUCAGGACAACCUGAGAGGCUGGCUGCAGGGUUGGGUCCCACUCUACCUUCAGGAAAGGUUCCCUGGUAGGAGAUACAUGGCUCAGGUCUCGCUUCUGGAGGGAUGUUUUCUUCGGGCUGUUGGCCAUUUUUCUUCUGAGCCACAGAGCCAGGAGAGGAGGCUUUGGAGGCAAGCCCUUUCUGGUACCAUUGUUUGCUGCUAGGGUUGCUAUGGUGAUGUUUCCUGACUGGUGCUGCUGGGAGGAGGCCCUUGCCUGUCCUGGGAGGCUCCUCAGUCCCUGAUGCUUUUCCUAUGAGGCAGGGAGGGUGCAGUGCUGUCAGUUCUGGUUACAAACUUGGUAACAGGAGCUUCUCUGGGAGAGCCUUGCCUGGUAAGGCUGGGGAGCAGGAAGCAGUCUGGCUCCCAGGCUCAGGGCUGGGAUAGAGGUGGUAAUGAGACACCUGCAACCGGCAUAGCUUUCUGGCCUGAAUGUUGAAUGGAAUGGGAGGGAAAUGAAGCAUUACAACUCCUAUUGUUACCAAGGGCUCAACAAGGACCUAAGUCAGAUUCUGAUCCCAUGGAAUAAGGUCUAGGGUGGUAAGGAAGAGGUGGGCAAUGCAGGGGAACAGUGGGGAAACUGGGUUCUUGUGGACAGGAUCUCAUGUAGUCUAGAAUGGCUGAUUCUCCUGCCUCUACCUCAAAAGCUGAGAUUAUUGAUAAGAAGCAUCACAGACAAAACUGGCAAUUUCAGAGUCAAAGAAGGAUGUGGAGAGACAACCUGUGCAAGGCCCAUGCAGCAGGUGCAGGCCUGCCCAUCAUCUCCGGGCUCCAUCACCCCUCACUCAAUUCCGAGAUCAGGCCACCUGGGCUUUAUUCAGUAGGUAGUUACAGUAGUGUUCUUGUGCUAGCUUGUAGAGUGGGGUCUAGGGUGGCUUUUUGCAAAACUCAGGUGCAAGCUAAGGAAGCCAGGCAAGUCAGUGGUCACUUCCUCCUCCUCCUCAGGCCUCAGCCUGAGUUCUCAAUGCUAGACUCCCUGGCAUGAUUGGGAACACGAUCAGAGAAACACCUAAAGGACUCACGUGAGUACCCAUGCUUUUGCUUCAGGCACACCCGUCCCCACACACCCAGAGCCAAUAGGCUUUGCCGCAGGAUUUCUUCAUGCAGUACCACUGGCUUAGAACCAGGGGGAGCUGUGAGGAAAGGGCAGUAAGUGGGGUCCUGGCAAGGACACCUGUGUGUCUAGAAGCCUACAGCAGAACCCACAGUGUGAAGAGGCUGAACUGCAGGUCCUGCCCCCAAAGGCCACAAGCAGAAGCUAAUGCAACCCCUUGUCACCCUACCCAUCCUGGCAGUCUCUGGAUAAUGAGAGCUAAGGGAAUAUGGCUACAUUUAUAAUUA